CUAUGUGGCCAUAAUUUCCUGACUACAUCGAAGUUUAUCUUAAUUCAGAAGUUAAGCAGGGUUAGGACUAGAUAAUACUUGUAUAGACGAUCACCUGAUGAGAUAGAUGCUGCCCUGC
rnacentral:rRNA from 1 species